AGUGAACGCUGGCGGUAGGCCUAACACAUGCAAGUCGAACGGCAGCACAGUAAGAGCUUGCUCUUACGGGUGGCGAGUGGCGGACGGGUGAGGAAUACAUCGGAAUCUACUUUUUCGUGGGGGAUAACGUAGGGAAACUUACGCUAAUACCGCAUACGACCUACGGGUGAAAGCAGGGGAUCUUUGUACCUUGCGCGAUUGAAUGAGCCGAUGUUGGAUUAGCUAGUUGGCGGGGUAAAGGCCCACCAAGGCGACGAUCCGUAGCCGGUCUGAGAGGAUGAUCAGCCACACUGGAACUGAGACACGGUCCAGACUCCUACGGGAGGCAGCAGUGGGGAAUAUUGGACAAUGGGCGCAAGCCUGAUCCAGCCAUACCGCGUGGGUGAAGAAGGCCUUCGGGUUGUAAAGCCCUUUUGUUGGGAAAGAAAAGCAGCAGGUUAAUACCCCGCUGUUCUGACGGUACCCAAAGAAUAAGCACCGGCUAACUUCGUG
rnacentral:rRNA from 1 species